rnacentral:lncRNA from 1 species
ACUUCUUUUGGCUUUGAUUCACAACCAAUAAUUUAAGUAGAAAGAGCAAGAAUAGAUACAGACCAUUUGAAGCACAAGUUUCUUUAAUAUUAGAUAUCUAGCAAAUCAGAGGCCAACUAACAGUAGAAAGCUAGUUCGCAGAAGUAGAAAAAAGCAACCGAGCAACAGCGGAACAAAUAAUUUCAGUUAAAACGAACAACCAACAACAGUAAAAUCCACACCAGAAGUGAACUCAAAAGUUAAUCCAGAGAAUCAACCAUGUGUUUCAGACCAAAAACAAAGGAAACUGAAACUCUUGAUGUUUUUCUUGCCUAAAACCUAUUGUGUGCUGAAAACUUAGUAAAAUGCUCUCUAAUUCCUUUUUUUUUUGUAUGUUCAAGAUCUCUCCUUUAUAGGAGAUGAGUGUCUCAAAGAUGGUUCAAAGUUGAACAAAAAUUCCAUCCAUAAUAAUGAGAAAGGACAAUCCUUUUCUCCAAUUUCAGACACAAGCAAGGAGUAGAUGUACUCCUAACAACUCCAAAACAGUAAAAGAAACCAAACUGUACUCUACACUCAGAUAUUCAGUUUUUAUCAUGACUGAAAUUUAAGCUAACAUACUCCACAUUCAAACUAACCAAAUUAAUGAUUAAUACAACAGAAACAAGAUUUAAAAGAUAACCGAACCAAGUAUUCAAACAAACUAGAUUGCAAUUAACUUGACUUGUACAAACUAACAUAGAAAACAACUGAAUUCACCAACUAAAACGCGUAACAGAAAUUAAUCGAUCAUUGUUAACUAUCCGACAACAACUAACAACAACUAAAUAAACGACUAUUACUAAUCUUAAAUCAGAACCUAAUCGUAUGGAAACAAUUGAUUCAUCUUGCUAUCACGAACGAUUCAUGGUUGAAUCAAAUAGAAAUUUUAGCAACUACACAAAAAUGAACUUUGAUCUAAUCAAAUCGCCAAGGAUCAAAACGAGCAAUUAACUAUCGACAAGAAAUAUACGAUUUAAACUAAACCUAUAUCCAAUUAGAGAAGUAGAAAUCAGAAAAAGGGGCACUAGGAAUUUACCAUAAUAACUAAAUCAGAUUGCCCUAAUCUAUCAAAUACGAUGCAAAAUGCAUCAAGUCGACCCCCCAAACACUGUUUUCUCGAUGGCAUGUCCUGGAAAAAAUGAGCUUCAGCAUAGCAGUUGAUUCCAAAUCAUGCCAAAGAGAAAAGGGUGUUGUGGGGUCGCGUUCAUGCUAGAAAUCAGUUAAAAGAGGUUGGUUGGGUGUUUUAGGGGCGACGACAGGCAUGGUGGUGGCGGCAACAAUAGUAGCAUAAGGUGAGGGAAAGGGUUUUGAGGAUUUUGGGGUAUGGAAUAGGAAAGAGUAGGAGGAGAAGAGGAGCUAGUGAAAUUUUGAGGGGUUUUGGGCAGUGGCGCGCGGCGCGGCAAAGGCGGCGGCGCGACUAGGGUUUGGGUUAAUCAAUUUUUGGUAGAGAUUUGGGGUAUUUGGGUGUUGGAUCUAGAAAGACGGUGAUGAGAAUAAAAGAACGGUAUAAUUUGAGUGUGUUUGGAGGAUGGCCGUCGCCAGUGGGCAAUUUUCGGCGGCGGAACUGGGCUGCGAUGGGCUGCAGUGAUGGGGUCUAGGAGAAUAUAGAGAGAGAGAGAAGAGAGAGGAAGGAGAGAG